rnacentral:rRNA from 1 species
UACGGAGGGGACUAGCGUUGUUCGGAAUUACUGGGCGUAAAGCGCGCGUAGGCGGCUUUGUAAGUCAGGGGUGAAAUCCCGGGGCUCAACCUCGGAACUGCCUUUGAUACUGCAAAUCUCGAGUCCGGAAGAGGUGAGUGGAAUUCCUAGUGUAGAGGUGAAAUUCGUAGAUAUUAGGAAGAACACCAGUGGCGAAGGCGGCUCACUGGUCCGGUACUGACGCUGAGGUGCGAAAGCGUGGGGAGCAAACAGG